AUAGUUCUAAUAUUACUAAUUUAUAGAGGUUUCUGAACAAAAAAACUAAAAAAGUAAAUGAAAAAGAAAUUAAAUUUUAAACCCGGUUCUGUAAACAGAGUUUUAACUUUUAAGGGACAGUAAGAACCCAUGCGUGUCAGUUUUAUAUUGGUUGAAUACGUAAGGAAAUUUUUUUCCGUGUAUCUCUCUUCCUUCUCUUUCUCCCAUUUGACAAAAAAAAAACUCUCCUCUGUGGGCGAUGAUGAAAACCAAAUCAAUACAGUGGUUUCUUGUGAAUUCGAAUUCAGUGAACCUAAUGACUGGUUCAAACUUCGACGUCAAGCAGAGGAUAUAGUGAAACUGGAUCAAGAGAGGUUGUGGUCUUGUGCCAUGGAUUUCGAUCAAACAUGAUCCGUUUUUUUUCACUUACCCUUAAACCGAACUCUUUUCAUCUUUUUCACAUUAGAGUUUGAUUAGAUAGUGGGUGAAUCUUGAUUGCAAUCAAUACAUGCUAACUUCAAAUAUGUAUAUUGAAGCCAAAGACUCUUCAAAGCUGUUUGCUUUUUUUUUUUCCAAUUAUCUAGUAAGACUUUAAGGGGUAUGAGAAUGAGAGUGUUUUGAAUUUUUGGUUGUGGUGUUUCCAUUGUUGCAGAGAGAGUGAAGGCAGUUUCUACUUUGGGAGACAUGUUGUUGUGAAGCUAAAUUAUGGCCAUAUAGCUUUGGUAUUAUAGUUGGGUUGAUGGUAUAGUUUGACUUUUGAGGUUGGGUUAGUUUAUAAUCUUUAAUGUUUUGUUUUUUUUUUAAUUUCUAACUACAUUUACAUUUUUGGUAAUGUAUUCUAAACUGUAUUUCAUGGUACAUGAGCAUCCUUAUAUUUUUUGUCAACUAAUUUAGUAAAAGUUUAUAUGCUCCAUAAAUAUGUACAUAAACCACAAUAAAAUUGCUAUUAUAGAGGAACAGAGACAACAAAUGUUCAAAACUUCUCUGAUCAUCAUUAUAUGUUAGGUCAUGGCACAACUAUGCAAUAAACAAUAUUAUAAUAAUUUUUGAAAAUUUCUCAAAAUCUGUGUGUUAACCUCUACAAAAUAUUCAGUUUUUGCAUAAAUGGUAAAUAUAAUGAAGCCUAUAAUUUUUAAUGUUUUUUUUUUAAUUUCUAACCACAUUCUAUAUUUUUGGUAAUGUAUUCUAAAUUGUAUUUCACGGUACAUGGACAUCCUUAUAUUUUUUGUCAACUAAUUUAGUAAAAUUUCAUAGGCUCCAUAAAUAAGUACACAAACCACAAUAAAAUUGGCAUUCUAGAGAAACAGAGACAACAAAGAUUCAAAACCUCUCUGACCAUCAUCAUAUGUUAGUUCAUGAUACAACUAUGCUCUAAAACAAUAUUGUCAUAUUUUUUGAAUUUUUUUUAAAAUCUGUGUGUUAACCUCUACAAAAUAUUCAGUUUUUGAGUAAAU
rnacentral:lncRNA from 1 species